GACGCUGUAGAAUACAGCUUCUCUUCGGAGCAGAGAGACAGGUGGUGCAUGGUUGUCGUCAGCUCGUGUCGUGAGAUGUUGGGUUAAGUCCCGCAACGAGCGCAACCCCUACAGUUUGUUGCCAUCAUUGAGUUGGGCACUCAAACCGGACUGCCGUUGACAAAACGGAGGAAGGUGGGGACGACGUCAAAUCAUCAUGCCCCUUAUGUCUUGGGCUACGCACGUACUACAAUGGCUGCGACAGAGGGCAGCGACACCGCGAGGUGCAGCGAAUCCCAAAACGCAGUCCCAGUUCGGAUUGCAGGCUGAAACUCGCCUGCAUGAAGCAGGAAUUGCUAGUAAUGGCAGGUCAGCAUACUGCCGUGAAUACGUUCCCGGGUCUUGUACACACCG
rnacentral:rRNA from 1 species